GAUGAGCGCUGGCGGCGUGCCUAAUACAUGCAAGUCGAGCGAACAGACGAGGAGCUUGCUCCUCUGACGUUAGCGGCGGACGGGUGAGUAACACGUGGAUAACCUACCUAUAAGACUGGGAUAACUUCGGGAAACCGGAGCUAAUACCGGAUAAUAUAUUGAACCGCAUGGUUCAAUAGUGAAAGACGGUUUUGCUGUCACUUAUAGAUGGAUCCGCGCCGCAUUAGCUAGUUGGUAAGGUAACGGCUUACCAAGGCAACGAUGCGUAGCCGACCUGAGAGGGGGAUCGGCCACACUGGAACUGAGACACGGUCCAGACUCCUACGGGAGGCAGCAGCAGGGAAUCUUCCGCAAUGGGCGAAAGCCUGACGGAGCAACGCCGCGUGAGUGAUGAAGGUCUUCGGAUCGUAAAACUCUGUUAUUAGGGAAGAACAAAUGUGUAAGUAACUAUGCACGUCUUGACGGUACCUAAUCAGAAAGCCACGGCUAACUACGUG
rnacentral:rRNA from 1 species